GACGAACGCUGGCGGCGUGCUUAACACAUGCAAGUCGAACGGAAAGGCCCUGCUUUUGUGGGGUGCUCGAGUGGCGAACGGGUGAGUAACACGUGAGUAACCUGCCCUUGACUUUGGGAUAACUUCAGGAAACUGGGGCUAAUACCGGAUAGGAGCUCCUGCUGCAUGGUGGGGGUUGGAAAGUUUCGGCGGUUGGGGAUGGACUCGCGGCUUAUCAGCUUGUUGGUGGGGUAGUGGCUUACCAAGGCUUUGACGGGUAGCCGGCCUGAGAGGGUGACCGGCCACAUUGGGACUGAGAUACGGCCCAGAGUCCUACGGGAGGCAGCAGUGGGGAAUAUUGCACGAUGGGCGGAAGCCUGAUGCAGCAACGCCGCGUGCGGGAUGACGGCCUUCGGGUUGUAAACCGCGUUCGCCUGUGACGAAGCGUGAGUGACGGUAAUGGGUAAAGAAGCACCGGCUAACUACGUG
rnacentral:rRNA from 1 species